GCCGGGAUGGCGGAAUUGGCUUACGCGAUGGUCUCAAACACCAUUGGGCUUCGGCCCGUGCGGGUUCGAGUCCCGCUCCCGGCA
rnacentral:tRNA from 1 species